UACGGGGGGGGCAAGCGUUGUUCGGAAUUACUGGGCGUAAAGGGCUCGUAGGCGGCCAACUAAGUCGGAUGUGAAAUCCCCAGGCUUAACCUGGGAACUGCAUCCGAUACUGGAUGGCUUGAAUUCGGGAGAGGGAUGCAGAAUUCCCGGUGUAGAGGUGAAAUUCGUAGAUAUCGGGAGGAACACCGGUGGCGAAGGCGGCGACCUGGGUAGAUACUGACGCUGAGGCGCGAAAGCGUGGGGAGCAAACAGG
rnacentral:rRNA from 1 species